AUGAACGCUGGCGGCGUGCCUCAUACAUGCAAGUCGAGCGAACAGACGAGGAGCUUGCUCCUCUGACGUUAGCGGCGGACGGGUGAGUAACACGUGGAUAACCUACCUAUAAGACUGGGAUAACUUCGGGAAACCGGAGCUAAUACCGGAUAAUAUAUUGAACCGCAUGGUUCAAUAGUGAAAGACGGUUUUGCUGUCACUUAUAGAUGGAUCCGCGCCGCAUUAGCUAGUUGGUAAGGUAACGGCUUACCAAGGCAACGAUGCGUAGCCGACCUGAGAGGGUGAUCGGCCACACUGGAACUGAGACACGGUCCAGACUACUACGGGAGGCAGCAGUAGGGAAUCUUCCGCAAUGGGCGAAAGCCUGACGGAGCAACGCCGCGUGAGUGAUGAAGGUCUUCGGAUCGUAAAACUCUGUUAUUAGGGAAGAACAAAUGUGUAAGUAACUAUGCACGUCUUGACGGUACCUAAUCAGAAAGCCACGGCUAACUACGUG
rnacentral:rRNA from 1 species